AUGAGCUUCAUAGUCACCUACAUCUGCAGGCGACAGAACCUGUAACAGGUGAUUUGGAGGUAGGCCUUAGUGCCUAGAGAGAGAAGUCAUGUCACCAUCAUGGGCUGUCCAAAGGAGUCCAAAAGCUGCAUGGAGGAUGGACUUUGAUCUGUGGGACCCAGAGAUGUCUGAAUCCUGAUGGACUGAGCUUCAAACUGGCCCUACCUCUGUCUUAAAGGAGAAUCAAGUGUGGCAGGUGAGUUGGAGCUGCAAGUGAUCCAGCCUGAGAAGUCAAUAUCUGUUGCAGCUGGACAGACUGCCACUCUGCGCUGCACCCUGACCUCCAUGAUCCCCACUGGGAUGGUUAAGUGGUUCAAGAGGACAGGGCCAUGCUGGGAGUUAAUCUUCUCCUUCCAUUGGGACCACUUCCCCUGAGUAACAAAAGUUUCAGAUGCCACAAAGAGAAACAACAUGGACUUAACCAUAAGCAUCAGUAAUAUCACCCCAACAGACACAGGAUCCUACUAUUGCAUGAAGUUCCAGAAAGGAAACUCCAUGUAGAGUUCAAGUCUGGACCAGGCACCUAGGCCACCAUGAGUAUGAAUAUGGCAUGACAUCCUUCUUCCCCUGGUUAUGACAAGUCAAUAAGAAUGCCCUCCAUUGUCUAAGCAA